AACGCAUAUGGCACCUUUUGGCGCAUGCCGGAAGGUAUGCCUGUUUGAGAAUCAUUUCCAUCCAUCUGAUUGGUGCACACCGUCAGGACAUGGGCGUUCAUCACUGACGCCCCGAAUGCACGUGCGCGGUCGUGAUAACGUUGUUGAUCGACCGGUUGCACCACCCUUGUCGAUGAUCUCAAAUCAGGCAGGACUACCCGCUGAACUUAA
rnacentral:misc_RNA from 1 species